rnacentral:rRNA from 1 species
CAGUCGCCAGGUAAAACGUAGGGUCCGAGCGUUGUCCGGAAUUAUUGGGCGUAAAGAGCUCGUAGGCGGUUUGUCGCGUCUGCCGUGAAAGUCCGGGGCUCAACCCCGGAUCUGCGGUGGGUACGGGCAGACUAGAGUGAUGUAGGGGAGACUGGAAUUCCUGGUGUAGCGGUGAAAUGCGCAGAUAUCAGGAGGAACACCGAUGGCGAAGGCAGGUCUCUGGGCAUUAACUGACGCUGAGGAGCGAAAGCAUGGGGAGCGAACAGGAUUAGAUACCCGAGUAGUCCCUGUCUCUUAUACA